rnacentral:tRNA from 1 species
CCCUCUGGCUCAGUUGGUAGAGCAUGGUGUUUGCAACGCCAGCAUGGUGUGUGCAACGCCAGGGUUGUGGGUUCGAUUCCCACGGGGG